rnacentral:rRNA from 1 species
UACAGAGGUGGCAAGCGUUGUUCGGAAUUACUGGGCGUAAAGGGCGCGUAGGCGGCCUACUAAGUCAGACGUGAAAUCCCCCGGCUUAACCUGGGAAUUGCAGUCGAUACUACUCAGCUAGAGUAUGGGAGAGGAUAGUGGAAUUCCCGGUGUAGCGGUGAAAUGCGUAGAUAUCGGGAGGAACAUCAGUGGCGAAGGCGGCUACCUGGCCCAAUACUGACACUCAGGUGCGACAGCGUGGGGAGCAAACAGG